GACGAACGCUGGCGGCGUGCUUAACACAUGCAAGUCGAACGGAAAGGCCCUGCUUUUGUGGGGUGCUCGAGUGGCGAACGGGUGAGUAACACGUGAGUAACCUGCCCUUGACUUUGGGAUAACUUCAGGAAACUGGGGCUAAUACCGGAUAGGAGCUCCUGCUGCAUGGUGGGGGUUGGAAAGUUUCGGCGGUUGGGGAUGGACUCGCGGCUUAUCAGCUUGUUGGUGGGGUAGUGGCUUACCAAGGCUUUGACGGGUAGCCGGCCUGAGAGGGUGACCGGCCACAUUGGGACUGAGAUACGGCCCAGACUCCUACGGGAGGCAGCAGUGGGGAAUAUUGCACAAUGGGCGGAAGCCUGAUGCAGCAACGCCGCGUGCGGGAUGACGGCCUUCGGGUUGUAAACCGCUUUCGCCUGUGACGAAGCGUGAGUGACGGUAAUGGGUAAAGAAGCACCGGCUAACUACGUGCCAGCAGCCGCGGUGAUACGUAGGGUGCGAGCGUUGUCCGGAUUUAUUGGGCGUAAAGGGCUCGUAGGUGGUUGAUCGCGUCGGAAGUGUAAUCUUGGGGCUUAACCCUGAGCGUGCUUUCGAUACGGGUUGACUUGAGGAAGGUAGGGGAGAAUGGAAUUCCUGGUGGGAGCGGUGGAAUGCGCAGAUAUCAGGAGGAACACCAGUGGCGAAGGCGGUUCUCUGGGCCUUUCCUGACGCUGAGGAGCGAAAGCGUGGGGAGCGAACAGGCUUAGAUACCCUGGUAGUCCACGCUGUAAACGGUGGGUACUAGGUGUGGGGUCCAUUCCACGGGUUCCGUGCCGUAGCUAACGCUUUAAGUACCCCGCCUGGGGAGUACGGCCGCAAGGCUAAAACUCAAAGGAAUUGACGGGGCCCCGCACAAGCGGCGGAGCAUGCGGAUUAAUUCGAUGCAACGCGUAGAACCUUACCUGGGUUUGACAUGGAUCGGGAGUGCUCAGAGAUGGGUGUGCCUCUUUUGGGGUCGGUUCACAGGUGGUGCAUGGCUGUCGUCAGCUCGUGUCGUGAGAUGUUGGGUUAAGUCCCGCAACGAGCGCAACCCUUGUUCACUGUUGCCAGCACGUUAUGGUGGGGACUCAGUGGAGACCGCCGGGGUCAACUCGGAGGAAGGUGGGGAUGACGUCAAGUCAUCAUGCCCCUUAUGUCCAGGGCUUCACGCAUGCUACAAUGGCUGGUACAGAGAGUGGCGAGCCUGUGAGGGUGAGCGAAUCUCGGAAAGCCGGUCUCAGUUCGGAUUGGGGUCUGCAACUCGACCUCAUGAAGUCGGAGUCGCUAGUAAUCGCAGAUCAGCAACGCUGCGGUGAAUACGUUCCCGGGGCU
rnacentral:rRNA from 1 species